ACAGUAUAUUACAGUUCACUGCUAUAUUACAGUAUAAUACAGUAUACUGUAUUAUACUGUAAUAUAGUAGUGAACUGUAAUAUACUGUA